UGAGUGAGCCAGCAAGGUCUGGGCCUUCCUCAUCAGAUUGUUUAUGUUCUACCCCAUCGGUGUCUCUAUCACGGCCCCUCCCCUCCCAGGCGUGAUCUGCAGGCCUGAUUGCAAGCCCUGGUUUCUUCUCUGAUGUUGUUAUUGACUAUUCCACUCCUCUGACUGGGGCCACUGGGUCUCCCCACCUCACCCUUCUGCCUGCUUUCUCUCCUUCUUCCCAUCAGCUCAAUUCCACUCCACUCCAACGAUCCUAUCUGUGCCAGACACUGGGCUGAGUGCUGACAAGACAGACCUAAAUGACACAAGGGUCUUUGGCAUCACGUGUGCUAGAAUCCAGGAAAGCAAGAUCUGACCCACAAGGUCCAUCCUGGCUGGGCUGAGAGCUACGAGGCAGUGGAAAGAAUACUGCACUUGGGGUCAGACCAAGUGACCUAAUUUGAAGUCCCAGCUCUGGCUCGUGAUCUUGUGCAGACUCGUCUAACCCACACCUUCCCGCGCCACCCGGGCUGGGGUGAAGUGAGGAGCACGUGGGAUUAUGGCAGAUUCAGCAGAUCCUUUCCUGGCCCAAAGCAGCUUUGAAGAGCCAUCGUGAGCCAAUGGGCAGAGCUAAUAGUCUCCUAUCCUCGACUUGCAGGAG